rnacentral:lncRNA from 1 species
GCAACUAGCAGACCUUCGGGCUGAAGACCGGGGUGGCCAUCUGCAGUUUCGCCAUGUCCUCAGUGUUCGGCAAGCCCCGAGCUGGCAGCGGGCCCCACAGCGUGCCUCUGGAGGUUAACCUGGCUAUCCUUGGGCGCCGCGGAGCGGGCAAGUCUGCCCUGACUGUGAAGUUUCUCACCAAGAGGUUUAUCAGCGAAUAUGAUCCCAAUUUGGUUGCGAAGAGGGCGCUGGAUUCCCUGGAACUGGACAAGAGACAAAUGCUCUCAACCACUGAACCAUUGCUCCAUCCCUUCCCAUGCUUCCUUAUACGAAG